GCUGAGCAGGCUGCCAUGGAGGCUCAGGGCAGAGUCUGGAGCGAUAUAUAUGCAGCUCAUUUACUCUGCUACUUAAGGAUCUGCAGGAGCUCCAGUCUUCGCCAGAUUGUCUCUCUUUACAGCGUGCUCCUUGUGUAGCCUCAAGGAUCGUUUGGAUUACCUACAAGCUAACUCUGGAUCAGGACUUCCUCCACUUUCCAGCCUUGCCUCCAGCUGCAAGCUACCUGCCUGCUUGCCGUGCCUGCUGCCAGAACCUUACCUACCACAGCCGGAGACCAUUUUCUCACCAUCCCCCUCCACUGUCGGACUUCAUCCGGGUUUAAUGUCAUCUGCUUUUGGGUCCACAUUCUUGCUAUGGUUCCUACAACCAUGACAAGAAGGACGGGGAGGAUGAGGAAGGCCAAGGACCGUAAUCUCUGAGAUCCAAACCACUUUCGUUGACCAUGUGACCAGCCAUGGUCUAACAAUAAGGGCGACUGGGCAAAUGGUGCAGCCAAAUUUGAAUAUGUACAUUGUAGUGUUCAUCUUCCAGACAUUUCUAAAUAAGAAUAGGUAUCUACUCUCACUCGAAAAUUACAGUGCUGCAUAUCAACACAGUACUCAAUGAGUACAGUAGUAGAGUAUAUCCUGUAAACUGUUCUG